AUUGAACGCUGGCGGCGUGCUUUACACAUGCAAGUCGGACGAGUGGCGAACGGGUGAGUAACGCAUCGGAACGUACCGGAUAAUGGGGGAUAACUGUCCGAAAGGGCAGCUAAUACCGCAUAUUAUUCGAGCUGCCGAUGUCGGAUUAGCUGGUUGGCGGGGUAAAGGCCCACCAAGGCGACGAUCCGUAGCGGGUCUGAGAGGAUGAUCCGCCACACUGGGACUGAGACACGGUCCAGACUCCUACGGGAGGCAGCAGUGGGGAAUUUUGGACAAUGGGCGCAAGCCUGAUGCAGCCAUGCCGCGUGUUUGAAGAAGGCCUUCGGGUUGUAAAGGACUUUUGGCAGGGAAGCGGUACCUGAAGAAGAAGCACCGGCUAACUACGUGCCAGCAGCCGCGGUAAUUC
rnacentral:rRNA from 1 species